AUGCGUCACAGUGCCACUGAUGGUGUCAACAUCCUCUCCGAGUCAAACUUCCUCCGCUCAUUUCCUCUCUUUACUUUGACCGGUCCUUCUCGUUCUCAAACCUCACCGAUCUGGAUCUCAGUUUAUUUGGUUGCAAGAAUCAAAAUGCAGGGUUGUAUUGGUUUUGAACAUGGCUUGAAGUCGCAAAGCGCGGAUUUGAACCGGGCUACAACAGCCAGAUUUUUGAUGGAGAAAUAG